GAUGAACGCUGGCGGCGUGCCUAAUACAUGCAAGUCGAGCGAACAGAUGAGGAGCUUGCUCCUCUGACGUUAGCGGCGGACGGGUGAGUAACACGUGGAUAACCUACCUAUAAGACUGGGAUAACUUCGGGAAACCGGAGCUAAUACCGGAUAAUAUAUUGAACCGCAUGGUUCAAUAGUGAAAGACGGUUUUGCUGUCACUUAUAGAUGGAUCCGCGCCGCAUUAGCUAGUUGGUAAGGUAACGGCUUACCAAGGCAGCGAUGCGUAGCCGACCUGAGAGGGUGAUCGGCCACACUGGAACUGAGACACGGUCCAGACUCCUACGGGAGGCAGCAGUAGGGAAUCUUCCGCAAUGGGCGAAAGCCUGACGGAGCAACGCCGCGUGAGUGAUGAAGGUCUUCGGAUCGUAAAACUCUGUUAUUAGGGAAGAACAAAUGCGUAAGUAACUAUGCACGUCUUGACGGUACCUAAUCAGAAAGCCACGGCUAACUACGU
rnacentral:rRNA from 1 species